GACGAACGCUGGCGGCGUGCCUAACACAUGCAAGUCGAACGCAGUGGGGACGGGUGAGUAACACGUGGGUAACCUCCCAUCAGAGGGGAUAACACUUGGAAACAGGUGCUAAACCUCUAUUGGUGGAGGGUCCCGCGUUGCAUUAGCUGGGUGGGGAGGUAACGGCUCACCAAGGCCACGAUGCAUAGCCGACCUGAGAGGGUGAUCGGCCAAACUGGAAAUGAGAAACGGCCCAGACUCCUACGGGAGGCAGCAGUAGGGAAUCUUCGGCAAUGGACGAAAGUCUGACCGAGCAACGCCGCGUGAGUGAAGAAGGUUUUCGGAUCGUAAAGCUCUGUUGUUAGAGAAGCGGUAUCUAACCAGAAAGCCACGGCUAACUACGUGCCAGCAGCCGCGGUAAUAC
rnacentral:rRNA from 1 species